AUACGACCUACGGGUGAAAGCAGGGGACCUUCGGGCCUUGCGCGAUUGAAUGAGCCGAUGUCGGAUUAGCUAGUUGGCGGGGUAAAGGCCCACCAAGGCGACGAUCCGUAGCUGGUCUGAGAGGAUGAUCAGCCACACUGGAACUGAGACACGGUCCAGACUCCUACGGGAGGCAGCAGUGGGGAAUAUUGGACAAUGGGCGCAAGCCUGAUCCAGCCAUACCGCGUGGGUGAAGAAGGCCUUCGGGUUGUAAAGCCCUUUUGUUGGGAAAGAAAUCCAGCUGGCUAAUACCCGGUUGGGAUGACGGUACCCAAAGAAUAAGCACCGGCUAACUUCGUGCCAGCAGCCGCGGUAAUACGAAGGGUGCAAGCGUUACUCGGAAUUACUGGGCGUAAAGCGUGCGUAGGUGGUCGUUUAAGUCCGUUGUGAAAGCCCUGGGCUCAACCUGGGGACUGCAGUGGAUACUGGGCGA
rnacentral:rRNA from 1 species